UCCUACGGGGAAGCAGCAGUGGGGAAUAUUGCACAAUGGGCGCAAGCCUGAUGCAGCGACGCCGCGUGAGGGAUGACGGCCUUCGGGUUGUAAACCUCUUUCAGUACCGACGAAGCGCAAGUGACGGUAGGUACAGAAGAAGCACCGGCCAACUACGUGCCAGCAGCCGCGGUAAUACGUAGGGUGCGAGCGUUGUCCGGAAUUACUGGGCGUAAAGAGCUCGUAGGCGGUUUGUCGCGUCGUCUGUGAAAACCCGCAGCUCAACUGCGGGCUUGCAGGCGAUACGGGCAGACUUGAGUACUGCAGGGGAGACUGGAAUUCCUGGUGUAGCGGUGAAAUGCGCAGAUAUCAGGAGGAACACCGGUGGCGAAGGCGGGUCUCUGGGCAGUAACUGACGCUGAGGAGCGAAAGCGUGGGUAGCGAACAGGAUUAGAUACCCUGGUAGUCCACGCCGUAAACGGUGGGCGCUAGGUGUGGGUUUCCUUCCACGGGAUCCGUGCCGUAGCUAACGCAUAAGCGCUCCGCCUGGGAGAGCAAACCG
rnacentral:rRNA from 1 species